rnacentral:tRNA from 1 species
CAAAUUAUAGCUUAAUUUAAAGUUUUUUAUUUACAUUAAAAAGAUAAUAUAUUUUAAUUUGA